UACAGAGGGUGCAAGCGUUAUUCGGAAUCACUGGGCUUACAGAGUUCGUAGGCGGUUCUACAAGUGGGGUGUGAAAGCCCUCGGCUCAACCGAGGAACUGCGCUCCAAACUGUAGAACUAGAGGGAGAUAGAGGUGAGCGGAACUGAUGGUGGAGCGGUGAAAUGCGUUGAUAUCAUCAGGAACACCGGAGGCGAAGGCGGCUCACUGGGUCUCUUCUGACGCUGAGGAACGAAAGCUAGGGGAGCAAACGGG
rnacentral:rRNA from 1 species